UACAGAGGUCCCGAGCGUUGUUCGGAUUCAUUGGGCGUAAAGCGUGCGUAGACGGUUGCGUAAGUCAGAUGUGAAAGCCCCGGGCUCAACCUGGGAAUUGCAUUUGAGACUGCGUAGCUAGGGUGCGGAAGAGGGAAGCGGAAUUUCCGGUGUAGCGGUGAAAUGCGUAGAUAUCGGAAGGAACACCAGUGGCGAAAGCGGCUUCCUGGUCCAGCACCGACGUUCAGGCACGAAAGCGUGGGGAGCAAACAGG
rnacentral:rRNA from 1 species